CCAGCACGGUAUGCAUUANUGCGGCGAGUGAAGCGGCAAAAGCUCAAAUUUGAAAUCUGGCACCUUCGGUGUCCGAGUUGUAAUUUGAAGAUUGUAACCUUGGGGUUGGCUCUUGUCUAUGUUUCUUGGAACAGGACGUCACAGAGGGUGAGAAUCCCGUGCGAUGAGAUGCCCAAUCCUAUGUAAGGUGCUUUCGAAGAGUCGAGUUGUUUGGGAAUGCAGCUCUAAGUGGGUGGUAAAUUCCAUCUAAAGCUAAAUAUUGGCGAGAGACCGAUAGCGAACAAGUACAGUGAUGGAAAGAUGAAAAGAACUUUGAAAAGAGAGUGAAAAAGUACGUGAAAUUGUUGAAAGGGAAGGGUUUGAGAUCAGACUCGAUAUUUUGUGAGCCUUGCCUUCGUGGCGGGGUGACCCGCAGCUUAUCGGGCCAGCAUCGGUUUGGGCGGUAGGAUAAUGGCGUAGGAAUGUGACUUUGCUUCGGUGAAGUGUUAUAGCCUGCGUUGAUGCUGCCUGCCUAGACCGAGGACUGCGAUUUUAUCAAGGAUGCUGGCAUAAUGAUCCCAAACCGCCCGUCUUGAAACACGGACCAAGGAGUCUAAC
rnacentral:rRNA from 1 species